UCAUGAUUCCGCCCCCUACCGUGGCUGCCCACCACCCUGCUCACCACACCGUGCGAGGGGGCUAGGGGGAAGGCGCGGUUUCUCUCGCUCAAGUUCCUGGAAGGGACUUCACCAGCACCAGGCUUCUCCCUGUGCCCAGGGCCUCAGGCAGCAGCGGCCUCCACCAACUGAAAGCCCCAGCAAGGGGGCCUGCCAGCACCACCCAGAGCCUGGACCUUGGCUCCAGGGAGCAUCCCUAAUCCAUGACUGUUCAACCAAGUGCUCUGAUUCUGAGUGGCUCAAACCAGGCCGUUUACCUUCCAGUUGCUGAGGUCAGAAAUCCAGGAGCAGGGGUAGGUGUCUGGUCCUGGGUAGGGCCUCUCCUGAGGUGGUCGUCAAGCUGUCAGCCGUGAUGUAUCUCCUGGAACCUGGCCUGGGGCUGCAAGACGUCCUCCCAAGAUGGUGCAUAUACAUUGCAGACUGCCUCGGUUCUCCUCUGCGUGGCCUAGGAUACCUGAGGGCCUCCCCAGCAGGUUCAAUUUUAUAUGGUGACUACAGAGAGAGGAACAGAGACAGAGAGAGAGAUUAAAGAGACAGCGAGCCAGUGAACACAAAGUGUUUAUGAGACAGAAGCUGCAGACCUGUCAUCACCACAUUUUGGAAUUCUUGGACAUUUCAUUAUAGCUGCCGUAGUCCAUUAGUCACUCCUGGGAAUGGGAUUCUACAAGGCCAUGAAGAUAGGAGAUCAUGUUGGAGGUCAUCUUGGAGGUACCCACCACUGACCUUGGGGCAGGUCAGCAUUGUGUUUGCAUUCGUCUUGGGCCACACCCCUGCACUGAGGAGGAGGCUCUCUAUCAGAGGUUCUGAUUGCUCAUUAAUGAUCCCUCUGGUCUUGGGAUCCUUUUCCAGGUUGCCUUCAUAUGUGCUAAGCUGUGUGGUUUUGUACCUCCCGGUGGACCUCCCCAGUGCUCAGGCUACCUGGUGCUCGGUCCAACCUGCUUUUCUUCUUGACAGAGCUGUGUCAGGCUCCAGUGGGGUGGGCUUUUCUUUAUCCGCCUUCCUUGUGGGCACCCAGGAUGGGUUGGUGGGCAGGCUUUGGUUCACUGGGAGGACUUAGGAACUGGCACCUAGGGCCAUCCUGAGCUCAAAACCUCUCUAAGCACUAGCCUCAAUCGUCUCCCUCUUCCCUCAUUUUCUGGGGAUCUUGGGAUGCAGGAACAAAGCUCUCUAUGGGACGGUCUUCUGCUUCCUGAACUUUCCAAAGCGGAAACGUAACAAGCUGAGUUAGGAGGGAAAAGGAGAUGCAACUGUGUCUUGAAGGCCCCCACUUGAAUGAAGAUCUCUUGGACCCAAACCUGUGUCAUUUUAUUGGAUGGACAAUCUGAGCAGGACACCUCCCUUUUCCUAGAAAUGUCUUACCAUGUGACUUUAUGUUGUCCAUUCCUAGCUGGGAAGACAAAAAUUACAUGCCUGACUCUACCCUAA